rnacentral:tRNA from 1 species
GGGCAGAUACCCAAGUGGCCAAAGGGGGCUGACUGUAAAUCAGCUGGCAGCGCCUUCGGAGGUUCGAAUCCUUCUCUGCCCA